rnacentral:rRNA from 1 species
UACGGGGGGGGCAAGCGUUGUUCGGAAUUACUGGGCGUAAAGGGUUUGUAGGUGGCUUGCUAAGUCAGACGUGAAAUCCCUCAGCUUAACUGGGGAACUGCGUCUGAGACUGGCAAGCUCGAGUGCAGGAGAGGAACGCGGAAUUCCAGGUGUAGCGGUGAAAUGCGUAGAUAUCUGGAGGAACACCGGUGGCGAAGGCGGCGUUCUGGACUGCAACUGACACUGAAAAACGAAAGCCAGGGGAGCAAACGGG